CUCAAAUCCCACAGGAGGAAUUGCUGUCAACAAUAUGAUUUUCUGAAAUAGUGAAGAACUCAUGAUAAAAUGCCCAAAGACACAAAAUGCAGUCUUCCCUCAAUUUACAUCGUUGCAUUUCUGGAAAAUUCAGCAUACAUGGAAACCAUGCAAAAGAUGGUGACACAGAGGUUCAAAGAGAACUUCUUUCUCCAAGAUCACGCAGGGUGGGAGUGGCUGAACCAGAAUUCAGACCCCAGUCUUCCUUCUCAUCAAAAGGAUGCAGGUACAAGAGGCUCUUUCUCUGUCUUCUUUGUCUUUCUCAGCAUCUGGUUUUAUCCCCCUCCCAGUGUGGAUGGCAGGGAGAGAAAGGAGAAAAAAGCUGGCAGUGAAUAGAAGCCGGCUGCUGAAGGGAAAGAACUCUAUCUUUUCUAGCGCAGAACAAAAGCUCCUGUUUUUUGUUUUUUUUUUAAAGAGCAACCUGUUUUCUUCAGAUCAUCCCAGCCCAGGGCCAGAAUGAGGCUUCAUUCAUUUGUUAGGAACUCUGCUCCCCACAGUGUGGAUUUUUAUUGUUUCUAGACAGACACAUCGCAUAGCACUUGGUUUUCUGUUCAGGUUGAAUUUUCUGAGUAAGUUCUUAUCUGGACCAUGGUGGAGAGUCCAGGCUCCCAGAAGUACAUUUCUUAUUUGAUACGUGAGACUCCCCCCUCCCAACGGGAUACCUGGAAAAAUGAGCCUGGUUCAUCGGUCUAGACAUAUCAUCUUCCUUAAUCAGUCUUCAGAGAGAUCUCCCUGGUGACUUCAUUGUAAUGGUUUCAAUAACAAGAGGACCUGAACUCAGCGCAGCCGUCCUAAGAGCAAGAAGGACCCUGAGGCCUGAGAAUACUUGUCGGAACUGUUCGGGGUUCCUCAAAACCUGACGCAGACCAGCCUCAGUGAAAAAAAGAAAGAUGGAAACAUUCAAGGACGACUGCUCAGGUUGGUGGAGCAUAACCACCACCCUGAGAAUGUCAGCCACACCUUGUGACUUCCUUCCAGGAGGACAGUAUGGAAGGAGCUGGAAAGUAACCACACGGUGGAGGGACUUGGCAACAGGGGUGGCCAGGGUGAGCACUGAGAAGGAAAAUGCCCUUGACAUUCAGAGGCUGGUCUGGCUCCCACAGCUAGACCGCGUUAGUCUCUGACAAGACGCCAUGUCACAGAAAAUCAAACCCAAAGCUCUCCUGAGACCAUGAUAAGAUGAGACAAAGCAAGGCCACUUUAUACUGUUGUCUAAGUGCAGACAGAACCGAGGUCGCUAUGCCCCCCACAGAAUAGCAAACACUCCCCCUUCAGCCCCCAGGAGUGACUGCCCGUCUUUCCCAGGAUAGCUUUCCCCUGUGCUGGCCUCGCCUGCCCACCAUAAGAUUUAGAGAACUGCAUCUGUCCAUGUGUAGCUAGAUAAAUAUAGAUAAGGGUCAACACGCCUCCGGCUAGAGAUUUACUGUGUCCAUCUUAGGAAGAGGAGAAGAAAGACCAUAAAAAGAAAUAGCUGGUUCAAAAUCCAAAGUCUGAUUUUUAUGGAUGUGAGGUGUCCGGGCUGCUGCCGGAUCAGCACGGUUUGCAGCUAUGCUCGGACAGCUAGAGCUUCUUUGUGCAAGAUUUCAACAGUGCUGGGCAGACCUACGGGAGGACGAGCCCAGCUCCACCAGGAAUGUGCCCUUAGAGGGAAGCAGCACUGGCCAUCACACACCUUCCUGACUGGGUGUUUUGUCACCGAGAGGUGUAUCCAUUCAGUAAUUCUAGUUAAUCUAACCAGAUCAUGUGAUUAUGUUUUAUUUUGUACGGUAUACAUCUGUGGUCUCCUCUUUGGUAUCAGUUGUUCACAAGAAUGUGAUUACUGGAAGGGGUGGGUAGGGGGGACUUGUGCUAGUCUCCUCUUCCUAUAGAUAAGAUUUAUUGAGAUACCAAUCAUAAAACUGCCCCGAUUUCUGACAGCAAUCGAAAGGAAACCCCCGAUUCCUUAGACCCGCCUCCAAAUCACCCAACCAAAGCCCAAAGCCUAUCAUAGGUUGUUUCUAACACCCUCAUGGUGUGUGUUCUUCCUCACCACAGGGGGUGAUGGGCACAACUCGUUUAACUCCAGGUGUGUUCUUGGUGGUCUCUGAUGAAGGACAUUCACAACCUUGUCAGUGAUAAAUCAUGCACCCUUGAUAUCAUGCCAUGAGAAUGGUGCUUCACCUACCUCUGUGGUCUUCCUCCCAAAGCCCAUUACCUCAGUCCAACCACAAGAAAAGGCUCAGACAGACCAACACCGAGGGACAUAUUACAAAAUUCCUGACCAGUACUCCUCAACACUCCCGAGGCCAGUAAAAACAAGGGGGGUCUGGGAAAGUGUCACAGCCCAGAGAGGUCUAAGGAGACCUGAAGACUAAUGUAAUGUGGCAUCCCAGAUGAGAUCCUGGAACAGAGAAGGGACAU